ensembl:lncRNA
GAGUGUGUGCAGCAGCUUGACCUGAGACAUUUGGUUUCUAUCUCAAUGGAUGGACCAAAUGUCAAUUGGAAGUUUUUCUCAAUGCUCCAAUAGGAGCAUGCAGAUGCAUUUGGAGGUGCCCAGCUGAUUGUGGUGGGGAGCUGUGGGCUUCACACACUCCACAAUGCCUUUAAAAGUGGCUUCAGUGUCUGGCAGCUGGAGAAAGUGCUCAGGGCAUUGCAUACACUCUUUCACAAUACCCCUGCUAGAAGAGAAGAUUGCUGCUCUUUGACAGAGUCAUCUGUGUUUCCCCUACCAUUCUGUGGGCAUCGCUGGAUCGAAAACCUACCCGUUGUCGACAGGGCUAUCACCAUAUGGCCAAUGAUGGUGAAGUAUGUGGAUGCAGUGACACAGAAAAAGCUUCCAAACCCUAGAACAUCCUCCUAUGACACUCUUGCAGAGGCACGGAAUGACCCUCUCAUAAUGGCCAAGCUGCACUUCUUUAUGGCUGUCUCUAGGACCUUCACCACAUUUCUGACUAAGUAUCAGACAGAUGAGCCGGUGAUUCCAUUCAUCGGUAAAGAUCUGGCUGUUCUCAUGAAGAGCCUACUGAAGAGGUUCAUCAAGGCAGAGAUCCUUAAUGACAUCACAGCACUGCAAAUGGUCAAACUGGACACAACUGCCAAGGAAGCAAGGGCUGGCCUAAAGGCUGUGGACAUUGGAUUAGGAGCAGAAGUAGUCCUAAAGGAACUCCAGAGUAACCCCAAGAGCAGCGUAGGUGAGCUCAGUGUGUUGGCAUUUAGAAAGGACUGCAUGGACUGUUUGACCAAUAUUGUCAAGAAAAUGCAAGACAAGAGCCCACUGAAGUACACCAUUGUGAGGCAGAUGGCAUGUUUGGACCCAACGAGCAUGUUCUCAGACCCCGACUUGUGCUAUGAUAGAAUGAAAGGAGUUGUUCAGAGGUUUCUGCAUGAUAACCAGCUGUCAGGAGGCGCCUCUGCUGGUGAUGUGAUUGUCCAACAAUUUGGACAUUUCUUGUCUCUGGAGGCAAAACAUGAGUCAUUCUCCUCUUUCCAACCCAUGCGUACAAGACUGGACGUUUUCUUGCAUGGAGCUUUUGGCAGCUGCAGCUUCAGCUAGGUCUCAGUAUCGGCUACACCUGGACCAGGAAAAGAGAAAGCAUGCGAGCAAUGCUCAAAGAGAAAAGAGAAAAGGUGCAGAAGACCACCUAGAGCAGCUCAAAACGAAGAAGAAGAUACUGAUUGAGGUAGCAAACAGCCUGGAAAAAGAUGCCGACAAGCUAGCAGAACAAGCUGAGGGUAAAUCGGGCACACUCAUGGCCCAGCUAAUCACCAAGUCAAACAUCCUCAGAAGAAGACACAAAGAAAAACUCACAGAACUCAAAGAGGUUGAGAAAGAGCUGGAAGAUAAAUCGGCAGAACUCAGGCAUAUGCCAUAAUGUCAAAUUAGGCAUUACCUCUUCCUUACCUUCUUUUUUCACUGUUUCAAGUGUUUAUGUUCAUUUGUGCACAUGCACAUUGUUAUAAAUGGGUAAGUACACUCUUUUGGGAAGGCUUUCUCAAGUGCCAGGUCAGUGUUUUGUUUAUUAUUAUUAUCUUUUGAUUCAAAGGAUGUCUGUCACACACACAUACACACACUCACACAAGUUAUAUUAAGUUAUAUUUUGCACUUCAAAAGCACUUGAAAUUGCCAUUUAUUUAUGUAGUUAUUGUAUUUAUUAUUUUGUUCGAAAGGAACAGUAUUUUUUAUUUAUUUACUUGAUUUUAUAAGCAUUUGUUUAUGGGACCUAAAUGCUCUGAAAAUAAUAAAUAUAAUUGAG